rnacentral:rRNA from 1 species
CACGUAGGGGGGCAAGCGUUGUCCGGAUUUAUUGGGCGUAAAAGAGCUCGUAGGCGGCUUGUCACGUCGGGUGUGAAAGCCCGGGGCUUAACCCCGGGUCUGCAGUUCGAUACGGGCUAGCUAGAGUGUGGUAGGGGAGAUCGGAAUUCCUGGUGUAGCGGUGAAAUGCGCAGAUAUCAGGAGGAACACCGGUGGCGAAGGCGGAUCUCUGGGCCAUUACUGACGCUGAGGAGCGAAAGCGUGGGGAGCGAACAGG